UUAUUUGAUUUACAGGUUGACUCAGACGCAAAGAUGCAGAGUUAAGUGGUCCACCGGGGGCCCCGACCGCGGACGGCAGGGUCACCCCCGAGGCAACAUGGUGUGCAAGUACAAAGGGUUGGAGGUCGGGCCCGGAAGCCCUUACUCUUCAAUGAUCCCUCCGCAGGUUCACCUACGGAGA
rnacentral:misc_RNA from 1 species